rnacentral:misc_RNA from 1 species
GAAAUGCGAUACGUAAUGUGAAUUGCAGAAUUCAGUGAAUCAUCGAAUCUUUGAACGCACCUUGCGCUCCUUGGUAUUCCGAGGAGCAUGCCUGUUUGAGUGUCAUGGAAUUCUCAACUCUAUUUGCUUUUGUGAAUAGAGCUUGGAUUUGGAGGUUUAUUGCUGGUACUUGUGAUCGGCUCCUCUUGAAUGCAUUAGCUCGAACCUUUGCGGAUCAGCUAUCGGUGUGAUAAUUGUCUACGCCGUUGCAGUGAAGCAUAUCAAUGGGCUCGGCUUCCAAUCGUCCUUUACUGGACAAUGACUUUGACCUUUGACCUCAAAUCAGGUAGGAUUACCCGCUGAACUUAAGC